GGUUGUCAAGCAAGCGCUCCGAAUUCUGUACUGUGCUUAGGAGAGUCACCUUUGAAUCCAGAAGGAGGCCUCCGAAGAAAACUAUUCAAGAAUCAAGUACACUCAGUCCUCAUCAGAAGUCAGGCCAUCUGCUGCAGUCUUAUUUACACCCAAGUCGGCGCGGAGUCCUGUUUCUCUGGAGCAAGAUAUCACCAGCAACCCAUUUUCUCAGCAGCAAAACUCCCUCACACCUUAUGGUCCGCUAAACAAAGAGGCUGGCUUCUGAAAUGAGCAAGAUCAACAGACUCCAAAUGAAAAUCUUCAAAGAUGUACACACUUAACAGAAGACUUCAUUGGAAGCUGAGUGACCCACUUUCAAAUAAAAACUCCUUUAAAAAGAUGAUGAAACUGAAAAUAACGGGGCUAAGUAAUUUGUUCACAAUCAUUCUAAGUUCAGAUCCGAGGUAGAAGAUCAUGAAGACAAUGACCAUCAGAUUACUUUUUUAUUGUCUCCCUGCCUCACCCCUGAUAAAAUUUUAUCUGUAUAUGUCAGACCCCAGGGUCCUGGGCUCUAAGUUCUGAGUAGCCCAUUCAUACCUUAAACGUGUAAGAGUAUACAUCCCCUAUUUCCAGUGUCACUACCUCUUCAUGACCAACAUUUGCUUCUCCUGUCUACAUCAAGUGACUAUCCCUAUGCUGUUAAAAAGAAAACUACGGGCCCAAAAUAGAGUCAUUUAUGCCAGGCAACCCCACCACAUUGGGGCUUAAUACCUAACCUAAUAGAAGCUUCAACCUCCCCAGAAAUGUCGUCUUAAUUGGUCAGUCAGGAAUUUUCUGGUCAGCACCAAGGAGAUAAUCUGCCACGUGGGCCCCCUGCAUACAAGGAAGAUGAGGUAAUCUGCCACUGAGACCCCUUUUGUCUGCCAUACAUAGGUUACCUUUUUUUUUUUUUUUCUUUACGACUUCCUUGUUCAGCAUUUAAAAACCCUUCCCUUUCUGUCUUCCUUGGGAACUCCUCCCUACUUGCUAGAUGGAUGCCACCAAUUCAUGAAUCAUUCAGUAAAGCCAACUAGAGCUUUAAAAUUUACUUGACUUAAAAGACUUUUAAAAAAGCACCGCACAGGGUGCCACUUGAUCCUGUCUGUGCUCUCACUUGGGCCUUUCCAUCCAUGGGGAUGUACUGUAUGUGUGAGUCUGUCUGAGGAUCUCUCAGACUGGAAUGUCAUCAGCUCAGCCUUGUCUGCUAUAUAUCCUUGUAAUGGGAUGACUCCAGGAAACCUGGAACUAUAAAUCAACUUCAGGGACUCUGAAAACAUAGCUGUUGCAGGCACUCUGCUCUCAAAUCAGGCAAUCCAUGGAUAUUUCAGGAGCAUAAAAUAAGUAAUAUUUCUUUUCUUAAAAAAUUUUUUCCUUUCCAUUGUGUUUAUAAAUACUACACUAAAGUUUUACAAAUUUUUCCAAAUUUUUAUACCAAGUGAUGAACGUUUGAAGAGUAAAGGAAACACACAUAUUUUCAUAGCAACAAAACAAUUUGUAGUAACUAUGGUUACAUAUGAGAUGUGAGGAAGAAAACUAAAUUUCUCCUCCAAAAGUGUCAUUCUAUGUGAAAACAUUCUGAAGUGUUUAUUAAAAGACUGUCCUUUGAGGUAUGGAUCAAUCCACUCCUCUGAAGAUAUAUGAAAAGCUACUUCCAACUGCAAGUAAAAUCUACAUAGUUCACUUUUUAAAAACCUUGAAAGUUAAACUGAGAUUUUUCUCCAGAUGUCCAUUUGAAUGCAGAUCAAACCCGAGGGAGACAAAUGAUGCUAUCCAGACCACAUGUUUGGCUUCUCAAUAUUAUAACUCUUUCAACAAACACCUAAGAUAAAAAUAUAGUAAAUAUUUUCAAGUUCUGCCAAAAUCUCAUUGCAUAGCUGCAUUAGGCCUUACAAGAGAAUACCUGGAUUCCAAAAGUCUUUCGUGUAGUACUUGUAUGUGAACUGA